rnacentral:lncRNA from 1 species
CCCAAGAAGGAUGGUCUUCCAGGAGUCACUGAAAAUUUCAAGAAGUGAAAAUCCAACAGAAAAUAUUUGAACCCAGGAAUAAAAGAGAAGGCUUGAAGACUGAAGGAUAUGGGCCUGGUUGAUCCACUUCAGAUUCAUCCCCUGUUUUAUUAGAGGUUGAAAAAGGUUCAAGACCUGGUUGUACCACAGCUCCCACCGACAGCUAAGGAACCAGUUUGGCGUCUGGUUUGUCUGUUGUUUUACUGCUGACCUUCAAAUCAACUUUAACCCCUGACCUCUGGAGGCAUCUAUCAUGACAAGAGGCUGUUUAACACAAAUGGUGCCCAUUUAUAGGGGAAGAGACUCAGAAGAUUUCCUUUUUAUGAAGAAUUUAGUUUUUCACCCCUCUUUUCUCAGUCACCACAGGUGAAAUCCCUCUCAGCAGCUGGCUUAUGAAAUAAUGUGAAGGGAGGCCUUAAUGAGCAGAACGCACCCUCAGCUGGAGAUAAAUAUAUGCAAAUGAGAUGCACAAACAAAGGAGCCUGGACAGAGAAAUAUCUGCAAUUCCAGCAAAAUGCUGCCUGCAGCUCGAAGAUGAACAGCUUUGAUAAAAUGUGAGAAAUAUUCCCCACGUGUGCUGAUGCCUCAGACACACCAAUCUGCAACAAGCAACUAGGGUAAAAAAUAGUUAAAAGUGCAUCAACAUUUAUCUGGAAUAUACAGUCCUGACCCCCUUACGCACUCCCCCCCACCCUCCUCCCCACAACACACAAAGUCAUUUGUCUUC